rnacentral:rRNA from 1 species
UACGGGGGGAGCAAGCGUUGUUCGGAUUUACUGGGCGUAAAGGGCGCGUAGGCGGUCAGCACAAGUCAGUUGUGAAAUCUCCGGGCUUAACCCGGAACGGUCAAUCGAUACUGCGGGGCUAGAGUGCAGAAGGGGCAACUGGAAUUCUCGGUGUAGCGGUGAAAUGCGUAGAUAUCGAGAGGAACACCUGCGGCGAAGGCGGGUUGCUGGGCUGACACUGACGCUGAGGCGCGAAAGCUAGGGGAGCGAACGGG